GAUGAACGCUAGCUACAGGCUUAACACAUGCAAGUCGCGGGGCAGCAUUUCCUUAGCUUGCUAAGGAAGAUGGCGACCGGCGCACGGGUGAGUAACGCGUAUCCAACCUGCCCUUGUCCACGGGAUAACCCGGUGAAAAACCGGCCUAAUACCGUAUGAGGUCACAAGCGGACAUCCAACUGUGACGAAAGGUUUAGCGGACAAGGAUGGGGAUGCGUCCGAUUAGCUUGACGGCGGGGUAACGGCCCACCGUGGCUACGAUCGGUAGGGGUUCUGAGAGGAAGGUCCCCCACAUUGGAACUGAGACACGGUCCAAACUCCUACGGGAGGCAGCAGUGAGGAAUAUUGGUCAAUGGGCGAGAGCCUGAACCAGCCAAGUAGCGUGCAGGAUGACGGCCCUAUGGGUUGUAAACUGCUUUUAUAAGGGAAUAAAGUGGGUCACGUGUGACUUUUUGCAUGUACCUUAUGAAUAAGGACCGGCUAAUUCCGUG
rnacentral:rRNA from 1 species